GGUGGAGUGGCUGAGUGGUCCAAGGCGCUGGUUCAAAGCACCAGUCCGAAAGGGCAUGGGUUCGAAUUCUACCUCCAUCA
rnacentral:tRNA from 1 species